GCAACAGUACCUAAAUCUGCUAUUUGUACCGGGAAAUUGUUGCUAAAAACCAUGCAUCCGAAAUCGAGCACCUCUUGAGACUGUAAAUGUGAUAUAUUGGAGCUGACCUGGAAUAUAAUCUGCUAUUGAGAUGUGUGUUUAUCCAGUCCAGAGUUAAGCACUGCUGAGUUGUGUUUCUGAUUCACCGUAUUCUUGGAGUUCUGAAGCUGGAGCAGUAUGUCGAAUGCAGACAGUGGCACUGCCUAUUGGCUUGCACCAGAAUACGUCACAGUUUGUUU